rnacentral:rRNA from 1 species
GUUGGACCUCCGGAACAGGUAGGGAAUACCCGCUGGAACUUUA